rnacentral:antisense_RNA from 2 species
CUUGAUGGUGGCUGUGUGCAGGGCGCUUCGGCGCGCCGGUCAAUGCUGAAUACUCCCCGGUCUACUAACCUGCGCACAGCUGCCACCCUU